GUAGGUGGCAAGCGUUGUCCGGAAUUAUUGGGCGUAAAGCGCGCGCAGGCGGUUCUUUAAGUCUGAUGUGAAAGCCCACGGCUCAACCGUGGAGGGUCAUUGGAAACUGGAGAACUUGAGUACAGAAGAGGAAGCGGAAUUCCACGUGUAGCGGUGAAAUGCGUAGAGAUGUGGAGGAACACCAGUGGCGAAGGCGGCUUUCUGGUCUGUAACUGACGCUGAGGCGCGAAAGCGUGGGGAGCAAACAGGAUUAGAUACCCUGGUAGUCCACGCCGUAAACGAUGAGUGCUAAGUGUUAGGGGGUUUCCGCCCCCCUUAGUGCUGCAGCUAACGCAUUAAGCACUCCGCCUGGGAGUACGGCCGCAAGGCUG
rnacentral:rRNA from 1 species